CCGCGGGCCCACUGCGCAUGCUCAGAGAGGAAAUCCGCGCCCCCGGUGCGCCUGGCUUAGAGCCCCGUCGACCCCUAGUAACCUGCCGGUGCAUUUUGUACCUUCUAAAUAGAGCGCAUGCUGGCUUAUGCACGAUGAUGCGGUCUCUCUGGAAUCCUGGCAGGCAGAUUCUUUACCACUGAGCCAGCCGGGAAGUCCAGAUGCCACAGGCAACUAAAGCCUGAGAGCCACAACUACUGUCCAUGUUCUAGGGCCCAAGAGCCAAAACUACUGACGCCUGAGUGCCUAGAGCCUGUGCUAUGCACAGAGAGGCCACUGCAACGAGAAGCCCGUGCACAGCAACCGAGACCCAGCACAGCCAAAUGUAGCAUUCGGGAUCUUAUUGACCAGGGAUCAAACCUGUGUCCCCUGCGUUGGGAGCUCAGAGUCCUAACACCGGAAUACCAGGGAAGUCCAAAAUUACCUCAUCUUUGAAUUGCCUGUUUAUAUCCCUUGUGGGUUUUUUAGAUUAUUUGUCUUUGUCAUGCUCAUUUGUAGGAAUCUACUUUUUCUUUUUUCUUAAUUUUUUCAUUGAUCUUAUUAAUUUUUCUUAAUUUCAUUAAUUUCUGUCUUUUAUUAUUUCUGACUAUCCAUAAACUUUGGGCAUACCUUUCAUUUUCUGACCUCUCAAGGUGAACACUUAGCUAAUUCAUUUUCAGUCUGUCUUAUUUUCUAAUAUAGCAUCAACAUUUAAGGUCAUACUUUCUCUCUAGUUACUUAGCUGAAUCUUACAGCUUUUAAAAAGGUAUUUAACAGCUUUUGAUCUAUAGUUUUUCAUUGGUGAGGUUCUAAAUAUACUGCAAUUUCCAUGGUUUUAUUCUUCAAUCAUGAAUUAUUUAGAAAUGUGGUUUUUUUAAAAUUCCAGAGUAAUGUGUUUUGUUUUACUCUUUAAAAAAAACUUAACUUUUUGUUAUUGGUUUCUAACUUCAUUUUGUGGUCAUUGGAUGGAUUCUGUAUGUUAUUAGUAUUUUGGCAUUGGUUGAUACUGUAGUGGCAUAGUUCAAGUCAAUUUUUUAACUUUCCAUGUACUUGAGAGUAUUUUCUAAUAUUUAUAUAUUAAAAUUUAUUAGUUAUAUCAUUGAAUCUUUUAUUUAUUUAUUUUUUGGGUCCUCCUGGACAG
ensembl:lncRNA